rnacentral:lncRNA from 1 species
CGAGAUGAUAAAAAUGGGAAUAUCGUGCAGACGGAUAAUCUCUCUGAUGUAUAUUCCCACUAACCGCUCCACUGAGUAUGAAAUGAGCCGACUCGGUCAGUUGAUCUACAACAACCCAAAUAGAAUCGAAUAUCUUCACAGUCAGAGGGAGACCAACUACAAAAUCCAUGGUGAUCUUCUCCCAUUUCCACUCUGGAAUCUCUAUCUCCUGAAGUAACCCUCCCG